rnacentral:lncRNA from 1 species
UUUUGAGAGAAUAAGUGCGUUUGGUUCGCGCUAUCUUUUUAAGAUGCUAUUUUUUUAAGAUUUUUAAUAAUCUAAUAGAAAUAAACGUAUUAAAUAAUUUAAUUGAUAAUAUUAAAUUUACUUGGGAAUGAGAUUCAUCCCAAAAUAUUAAUCUUAUUCCCUUGAGAGAGGGUGGGUAUCUUCAUAUUAAUGGAUCGGGAUAAUCAGAAGAUGUCUAAUCUCUUUCUUUCUCUUUACUCGCCGGCUAGUUGAUAUUAUUUUUCUUUACACUAUAACCUUAUGUCUCUCUCUAAACUUAUCUUUCUCUCUAAAUUUCAAUUAUUUUUCUCUAUCUAAACUAAGCUAUCUCUCUCCCUCUUUUUCUAAAAUCUCAACUCUUUCACUCUCUCUAACCUUGACUAUAUUUAUCUUUCUAUUUCUUUAAUUUUGCUAUCCCUCCCUAAUCUAUGUUCUCCCUCAUUUUUAAAAAAAAAUGUUGAAAUUUUUUUGUAGCAUUAUCUAAAAUUAAUUAAAAAAAUAAAUAAAUUAAUUGUAUAUUUUUUUUGUAAUUUUAAAUAGUAUGACUAAAUAAUAUGACCGUACGAACCAAACACAGAAAUGUCAUAUUCUUAGUAAUAGAAUGAAUAGAAAUAAAAUUAUCGAAUACCUUUUUAUUCCUAGUAAUCUUUCAUAGUGCGAACCAAACGCACCCAAAGAGUAAUUUUUUCUAGAAUCUGUAAUUAUAUUUUAUAAAAAUAAAUUUAUAUCAAAUCAAAUAAAUAAAAAAAUUAUUUUUCAAACAAAAAAAAUAGUCUAUUAUUACAACAAGCUAAAUAUGUUCUUUAACUUGUACAUUAAAUAAAGGCCAAUUUAUAUAAAAAAUCCACAAAUUUUGAGCUUUUAUAAAACUAGGCCGUCUUUUUCGAUUUUGUAGAUUCGGUUCGAAUUUUUAGCAAACUGACCAAAAUACCUUUAUUAUUUUUUCUCUCUCCAUUUUUUUUCUCUCGUUAAUUUUUUUUCUAGGCAAAGGCAAAGGCGGAGGCGGAAACGGCUCAUCUCGUCUCUCAUGCCCUCGCCCGCGUACCCCCGCCUUCCUCGCCUCCGACGCCGCCGAUGCCAAGUUGCAAUGCAACAAGAGAAGAAACAGUAUAAAUAUCUCUAAAGUAUGCAGUUUACAUCUCAAAGAGUGCAACAAGAAGAGAAACAGUAUAAAAAUCUCUCAAAGAGUGCAAAUUUCGUUUAAAGUGUGUAACUUUCAUUUUAAAGGAUAUAGCUUAUAUCUCAAAGAGUGCAAUAAGAAAAAAAAAUAGUGUAAAUAUCUUCCAAAGUGUAUAAUUUUUAUU